UGUGAAAUCUGUGAAGCAGAGAGGGAAGAUGAGCACCACGCUGUUUUUUCUUGCACUAGGAGUGUGGCGCUAAGACGUGCAUUGAGGGAUGUGUGGGAUCUGCCAAAGGACUCGGAGUUCAGAUUUACAGGGCCAGAUUGGCUGCAAUUGCUACUGCUAGCAAACCCCAAGGAAGUCAGGUGCAAGAUUUUGUUAAUGAUGUGGCAGGCAUGGAAUCUGAGGAAUAAUGUAGUACAUGGGGAUGGAAAGGAUACA
rnacentral:rRNA from 1 species